ACAGCAGCCGCCGCGGUAACACGGAGGGUGCAAGCGUUAUCCGGAUUUAUUGGGUUUAAAGGGUCCGUAGGCGUAUCUGUAAGUCAGUGGUGAAAUCUCACAGCUUAACUGUGAAACUGCCAUUGAUACUGCAGGUCUUGAGUAAAUUUGAAGUGGCUGGAAUAAGUAGUGUAGCGGUGAAAUGCAUAGAUAUUACUUAGAACACCAAUUGCGAAGGCAGGUCACUAAGAUUUAACUGACGCUGAUGGACGAAAGCGUGGGGAGCGAACAGGAUUAGAUACCCCAGUAGUCCCUGUCUCUUAUAC
rnacentral:rRNA from 1 species